CAAGUUGAGCCUCCAUGGACUAUAGCUGAAGAAAGACACUUCAUGUGUAGCUUGAGCAAGCAGACCGUGGAAGCCUGAUUUUGGUCAAUUACUGCUGCUGUUGCCAAGACAACAUGCCUGAAGGAGAUGUGGAGCUAGUUCUCCCCCCAUGUGGCCUUAAUUUAUCAAUUUCAAUUUACAGUUUUUGUUCAGCCUAUUUUCUGCGCACUUGGUCGGUGAAGGACACUGUCUGGGUGCGGGGCAGGCACAGGGUAGCAGUAUGAAGCGGCUACCUGGGGUCGGCAAGUCCCUGCCUAAACUGCUCAUGUACUGGCUGCUCUUCCCGAGUCUCAGCAUUCAGUAAAGAAUGACCAGGCACAGUGACGUCUCCAUCCCCUCCGUCUACCAUGGUCUCUUCAGUGACAUCUCCACCCUUUGUAAUCACCCAAAUUUCAUUGCCAACAAAUCAUCAGGAUGAAUAGCUCAGAUGAGAGGGUGGGCUGGGUUUGCGGGGGUGUGGGGUUUAGGAGAUGUUCCCAUGGCAACAGCAUCUGCAUAACCUUGUGGUUAGAUUAAGACAAAAUUUAACACUUUAAAGGCCAGAUAUGUGAAGCAGGCUUGGUGCCGGGUAACACACUCCUAAGACAUGGAAUGUAAACCAUUUUUCCUUCAUCUUUUUGAAGGUGAUAUUUUGCAUUCAUAGAUUGAAGUAAAGUGUUUAUUGAUUUAUGUUAUCCAGUGGAAAAACAUAGAAGCAAUAUUAAGGAUAAAAAAAUAAUUUAAAAAAGAAAAACAAAUUACCUGAAAUCCAUUUUUAGAUCAUUUUGCCACAACCUCUACACACCCAAUCACCCAGUCAGUGUUCCCACACUAUCCACUCUGUGUCAGUGUUACAUAAGCUGGCAAACUAACAGGCAAGAUAGGCUGUUUAUCCUAUGUUCGGUCAUUAAAAUGAAAGAAAUGCAUUGAGAUGACCUAUUUAGCUGGCUAGUAAGCGAAGCCACCAUUUAAGUGCUCCAGCCAAAUAUAACUAGUACUGAAAAACAAAAACCAGACCCAUACCAAAAACGCUCCAAUAUGACAUCUUCCACCAUGUGACCUAUAGGGAUUUAAACUUUCAAUGGUUAUUCCAAUGGUUAUCUUCCAGGGGUUCCCAUAGACACUCAAUGGCAUAGUUGAACAUAUGAGUUUCUAAUCGAGAUAUUUAUAAAAACAAUUAGUUGACCGAAUAUGGGAGAGUCAGGAAUAGAAGUUUAAAUGAAACUUUAAAUGAAAAGCAUGCCUUUGAGCCAAUGGUCCUCUGGUCCUGGUCCUGGAAAGGGUUUGCUGGCUUUCGUUGUUACUCAGAACUUGAGUACCACAGUGAUUGAUCAGUUAAGGCAGCUGAUUACACAGUUAAUUCAGGUUAUCUGGUUUCUGGGGUCUGAAUUGGUCGCUGAUCUUAAGGAAAAAACUAAAACCAGCAGACUCUGUGGCUCUCCAGGACCAGGUCUGGGUAUAGCUACAGUAAAAAAUAAAAGUGCACCCAUGUAAAGCAGGUCUGUCCAAUGUUAUCUGAAAAGGGAUGGUGUGGAUGCAUGUUUUUGCUUUAACCCAGCACUAACACACCUGAUUCCACUUAUAGUCUUGAGCGAUGUCUCAUUUUUAAUGUACAAAAGCAUGUCCAUGGUAGUAAGUAAUCUAACUUAAUUUAACAAAUUUAGACACAAGGAUAUUUAUCAAACAUGCCUAUAGUAACAAAAAUGAGUCUACCAGCAUAAAUAAUCUAUUUUCUGUUCCACUAUUGCUACUGUGCCAUUUCUCUCAUGCACAACAUAGGGCAACUUCACCAAAAUGAAUGGAGUCAUUUAAAAUACAGUAUGUUUAUUCUUUCAAAGGGAUACAAAAUUCAUUCCAACUUACCAAUGAAAACCUUACACCAAAUCUGUUUGAAAAUUGUUUCAACUGAAAAAACAGCAUAAAUGGUCAGAGAAUGCCAGUUUUUUUGUGGUCUUGAAUGGUUCUUAAUAUAUCAAAGGAUAAUUAGCUUGUUGCAUUUUGCUCGUUUUUCAUGUUUAUGAUUGAUUUUUGUUACUUAUUCCCAUGGUUCUGUCUGCCAUAUACAGACAUUGGAAAUAUAAGAAGCCACUAAAUAGCAAUAAAAGAUAACAAAUAACUCAUGACAACACAUGACAACAAGUUACUAAAUUAAGAGGCUGCAUAAAUUCAGUUGCAAUGUUUUAAAGUUUAUUUGUCAGGUUGAAAAUACAUGAGUAAUACAUAACUGACUUUAUUUGUUGGGAAUUAAAAAGACUGUGACAAAUGCUGUGACCACAGUAAAGAUGUGUUGUCAGCCAGGCCUGAGUAACCCAAGCUUCUUUUCCACCUAUCCUCCCAACACCCACCUUCAUAUCACCCUGAGAUUCAUUAAACCAAUUUGUUUAUUCACUGCAUCUCACUUCGGCUAGUUCUGUUGCAUUUGUUGAAUGUCAUUUAUGUUUUAUAUGUUAUACUGUAUGUACCAUACUGUUUUAUAUUGACACUGUGUUGGCUGCUACCUUGGACAGGUCUCUCUUGAAAAAGAGACUCAGGAUCUCAACAAG